rnacentral:rRNA from 1 species
UACGUAGGGUGCGAGCGUUGUCCGGAAUUACUGGGCGUAAAGAGCUCGUAGGUGGUUUGUCGCGUCGGAUGUGAAAACCCGGGGCUUAACCCCGGGCCUGCAUUCGAUACGGGCAGACUCGAGUGUGGUAGGGGAGACUGGAACUCCUGGUGUAGCGGUGAAAUGCGCAGAUAUCAGGAAGAACACCGGUGGCGAAGGCGGGUCUCUGGGCCACUACUGACGCUGAGACGCGAAAGCUAGGGGAGCGAACAGG